rnacentral:rRNA from 1 species
UACAGAGGUCCCAAGCGUUUGUUCGGAUUCAUUGGGCGUAAAGGGUGCGUAGGCGGCGCGGUAAGUCGGGUGUGAAAUCUCGGGGCUUAACUCCGAAACUGCAUUCGAUACUGCCGUGCUUGAGGACUGGAGAGGAGACUGGAAUUUACGGUGUAGCGGUGAAAUGCGCAGAUAUCAGGAGGAACACCAAUGGCGAAGGCAGCUCGCUGGGAGUGAUGACGCUGAGACGCGAAAGCGUGGGGGAGCAAACAGG